rnacentral:rRNA from 1 species
GGGCCCGCACAAGCGGUGGAGCAUGUGGUUUAAUUCGAUGCAACGCGAAGAACCUUACCUACUCUUGACAUCCAGAGAAUUAGCUAGAGAUAGCUAAGUGCCUUAGGGAACUCUGAGACAGGUGCUGCAUGGCUGUCGUCAGCUCGUGUUGUGAAAUGUUGGGUUAAGUCCCGCAACGAGCGCAACCCUUAUCCUUUGUUGCCAGCACGUAAUGGUGGGAACUCAAAGGAGACUGCCGGUGAUAAACCGGAGGAAGGUGGGGAUGACGUCAAGUCAUCAUGGCCCUUACGAGUAGGGCUACACACGUGCUACAAUGGCGUAUACAAAGAGAAGCGAGCUCGCGAGGGUAAGCGGGACCUCAUAAAGUACGUCGUAGUCCCGGAUUGGAGUCUGCAACUCGACUCCAUGAAGUCGGAAUCGCUAGUAAUCGUGGAUCAGAAUGCCA